CCAGGUUUGAGAUUCAGGUUGCUGGCGACCAGACCCUGCGCAGACAAGACCCCGCCCAGCUGGGUUAGCCAACUCUAGAGUCCGGCUGUCUGCCCUCACACCAUGCCGGGCCUUGGGUCGGGGUCCCCACACUCACACAAGCCAUGGCGGAGUACAGGAGGAUGGUCCUGGGAACUGCGGAACCAGCUGUCUGAAGACUCCACCCGAGAGAUGGGGCCCUGGGCCUCUCCCACCCUUUUAACUGGACCAGACCCCUGGGGAAGUCAUGAGCAAAGCAUCAUGGUAGGAUGGAGACUGCCCAGAAUGUGAAGGUGAGUCCUUAAAAAUGGGUGAAGGUGGCGGGCUGGCAUUCCAGCCCAGGCAGAGGCUUCUAAAUGAGAAAGCACAGAUCUGGGGAACAGCGAGCAUCUGGGCAUGGAUGGAGUUCAGGGUGUGUUAGGGAAAGAUGGGGCAUGAGGCUGGGGGGGUCAACAGUAUCUGGAUCGUGAAGGGCCGCAUUGAGAGGCUUGGACAUUGUUUCAUCUGAGAGUGCUGGGGAGCCACAGAAAGUUAUAGAGAGGGUGAGUAUUGAGGCCAGGUUUGGGCUACAGGGAUUACUGUAGCAACAGAGUGGGAGGGGAGGUAUAUGUGGAGAUGUUCUCACCUCACACCCAGGAACCAGGUAGAGAGAAGGGCGUGGGGAGCACUGGGCAAGGUGGGAGGCUUACUAGGGGAGUUUCAAUGGGACCUCCUUCUCCAUAUCACUGUCCCCCUUCUGAAACUUCCAGCAUCAAUGUGGGAGGAGGACGUGGACCAGGAGUGACUCACAUCUGGAGGCUAGGCCAGCAAACCCGCCCUGUCCUCCGAUGCUUCCCAGUCCAGCCUCCACUGUCCCCCACCCCACAGGCCACCUUCCUGCAGAUGAUUGAAGCCAACCCUGGCACAGGAGGCAUGGGGAGUGCAUGGGACUGCGAGGCAGGCCUAGAAGAGGGGGCUGGUCCCCACCCCAUGAGCCCCUUACCCCUCCUGCCAGACCAAGCCUGCUGCCUCAGAAACCAACCACAGCAGCUUCACUUUUUCCUCCAGAGCCUUCUUCAAA